AGAGAAUAGAUACCCAGGUAGUCCAUGCCGUAAACGAUGGAUGCUAGCUGUAUUCGGUAUCGACCCCGGAUGUAGCGAAGCUAACGCGUUAAGCAUCCCGCCUGUGGAGUACGGUCGCAAGACUAAAACAUAAAGGAAUUGACGGGGACCCGCACAAGCGGUGGAGCGUGUUGUUUAAUUCGAUGAUAAGCGAAGAACCUUACCCAGGCUUGACAUCCUUGGAAUUUCUCCGAAAGGAGAGAGUGCUUUUAGAGCCAAGUGACAGGUGUUGCAUGGCCGUCGUCAGCUCGUGUCGUGAGAUGUUUGGUUAAGUCCAUCAACGAGCGCAACCCUUAUGAUUAGUUGGAUUUUUCUAGUCAGACUGCCCUGGCAACAGGGAGGAAGGAGGGGAUGAUGUCAGGUCAGUAUUACCCUUACGCCUGGGGCUACAAACACGCUACAAUGGCCGGUACAAAGGGCAGCCAAGUCGCAAGACGGAGCAAAUCCCAUCAAAGCCGGUCCCAGUUCGGAUAGCAGGCUGAAACUCGCCUGC
rnacentral:rRNA from 1 species